GAUGAAGAACGUAGCGAAAUGCGAUAAGUAAUGCGAAUUGCAGAAUCCGUGAGUCAUCGAAUCUUUGAACGCACAUUGCGCCCCUCGGUAUUCCGUGGGGCAUGCCUGUUCGAGCGUCAUUUACCCCUCAAGCACUGCUUGGUGUUGGGCGUCUGUCCCGCUUCGCGCGCGGACUCGCCCCAAAGGUAUUGGCAGCGGUCGUGCCAGCUUCUCGCGCAGCACAUUGCGCUUCUCGAGGCGGUCGAUCGGCGUCCACGAAGCUCACCUCCACCGUUUGACCUCGGAUCAGGUAGGGAUACCCGCUGAACUUAAGCAUAUCAAUAGCGGAGGA
rnacentral:misc_RNA from 1 species